rnacentral:rRNA from 1 species
GGGCGAUGGCCUGAACCGCCAGUUAGCGUGAAGGAUGACUGCCCUAUGGGUUGUAAACUUCUUUUAUAAAGGAAUAAAGUCGGGUAUGCAUACCCGUUUGCAUGUACUUUAUGAAUAAGGAUCGGCUAACUCCGUGCCAGCAGCCGCGGUAAUACGGAGGAUCCGAGCGUUAUCCGGAUUUAUUGGGUUUAAAGGGAGCGUAGAUGGAUGUUUAAGUCAGUUGUGAAAGUUUGCGGCUCAACCGUAAAAUUGCAGUUGAUACUGGAUGUCUUGAGUGCAGUUGAGGCAGGCGGAAUUCGUGGUGUAGCGGUGAAAUGCUUAGAUAUCACGAAGAACUCC